GAUGAAGAGCGCAGUGAAACGCGAUAACGCUUGUGAUUCGCACUCUUCUGUGAGCAACGUCACUUCGAACAACAUGCGGGCCUUGCCUUCG
rnacentral:rRNA from 1 species